AUUAUUAUUUUAUGCUUCUCGGUGUUACAGUAUCUCUGUCUUCCUUCUGUUCUCUCCCACUUUAGAACCAUGCCUAAAUAUAAGAGCAGUGUCCGUUGUAGGACCAAAAAAAUAAAACUAACUCGGAAAACCAUCGGUGCUCGGGAGAAAUAUUCCUAUAUUCCGUCACAUGCAGGCUCAUCUGACACCAACACUGUUUUUCCCGCAUCAGAUGAUAUUUGUACUGAAAACUCAAAGGAAGAAGGGACCGCGUAUACCAGGGCAAAAAGGAAGGAGCUGAGCCUAUGGGAUACACUAAAAGAUCAGGUCUUGGAAGAGUCUUUAGAUGAGCAGAGCAUAACAGAGCCUAUGGGUUUGACGGAAGUGCUGUCAAGAGAACCGACUUCAGAUAAUACUACGAAUGUUUGCAACAUCUGCCACUGUCUUUUCAGUGAUGAGAAAAAAAAUGCCAAGAAGAAGUGGCGUGAGUGGCGACGUUGCAACACAUGUGAGCAGUGGUCACACCUGGCAUGUGGCUUCAAGAAAAACUUGUGUCGUCAUUGUCAGACUCCCAGAAGUUGAGCCUUGUUAUGUCUUUCAGAGCGAAGGUGAAACAUUAACAUGUUUAACGUUGAAAAAAUUGUCUUAUAGUACUACUUGGUUCUUUGCUGGAAUAAUGAGAGGGUGACUCGCUGUCCAAAGUGUUCAAAUCUGUAUGUUCGAAGAUACUGUCCUACAUAUGAUAUAAGUAGUUUCUGGCUUAUUAGAGUUCAUGGAUCUCCAUUGUGCAACAUCUUCAAGUCUGUGAAAUCAUUCACUUCUGUUUGCAGCUAAAAUGUAAAAGAAGCUUUUAUUGGAGAUGUGUUUGUGUUGUGCUAUCUGUCAUUAAACAUGUUUUUUCAAAAUGUAUUAUGCAUCACUGGGACUGCAAAAAAGACACUUCUAAUUUGGUCACAGUAUUUGUGACAUCUGUUUAUCAGAAAGCUGUCAAUGUUAGCAUUUCCUGUAGUUUGUCUUAAACAAUUGAUAAAUGCACAAUGCAUCAAUAAAAGCUUUUGUAU